GCGUUGGAUGUGUAGAUAUUUUUUCCCGAGUCGGCCGCUGGGUUUGUGUUCGCGCUCCGCAGAAAAGGAGAGAGCUCCCACUCGCGUCUAGGGUUCGCCGGAAGAAGGGGGGUCCAUAAGAGGAAACGAAAUUUAAGAAGUGAAAAGCCAAGUCAUUUAGCAGAAUGGCUGGACAGAGAAACAACUAUGGUAAACGAUCCCACUCUCAGAUGGAUUUGGCUGACAAUGAAGGAAGCAAACGAAGAAAUCCUGGUGAAAGAGAUCCCUAUACACCUGGGCCAGAAGAUACUGUCUACCGUUACUUGUGUCCUGGAAAGAAGAUAGGAAGCAUCAUCGGGAGGGGUGGGGAGAUCGUGAAGCAGUUGAGGUCCGACACUAAGGCCAAGAUCAGGAUUGGCGAGAGUAUUCCUGGCUGUGAGGAGCGAGUUAUAACCAUUUUUAGCACAAGUGCGGAAACAAAUGCCUUUGAAGAUACUGGUGAUAACAUUUGCCCGGCACAAGAUGCCCUCUUCAGGGUGCAUGAAAGGCUUGUCACAGAUGAGGCACCAGGUGAUGAAGAUACAGAUACAGGCAACCCUCAAGUUACCGUCCGGUUGCUCGUGCCAUCUGAUCAGAUUGGAUGUAUUAUUGGUAAAGGGGGACAAAUCAUACAAGGCAUCCGGAGUGACACGGGCGCGCAAAUUCGCAUUUUGAAAAAUGAGCACCUCCCAGCCUGUGCUAUCAGUAGUGAUGAACUUCUCCAGAUUACUGGGGAUGCCUCAGUUGUAAAGAAGGCUCUUGUUCAAGUUUCCUCACGUCUCCAUGAUAACCCAUCUCGCUCACAACACGUGCUUGCUUCCAACAUGUCCCAGACUUAUCCUCCUGGGGGUCAAUUUGGGGUUCCAAGUGCUGGUGCUCCGGUCAUGGGUAUGGGUCCACUGAUGGGUCCAUAUGGUGGUUAUAAAGGUGAGACAGUAGGGGAUUGGCCAGCUUUUUACCCUCCAAGAGAUGAAAAUUCAGCAAAGGAAUUCAGCUUACGCAUCAUAUGCCCUUCUGCCAACAUAGGAGGAGUAAUCGGCAAGGGUGGUGUUAUUAUUAAACAGAUCAGGCAGGAAUCUGGAGCAUUUAUCAAGGUAGAUAGUUCCGCCAAUGAAGAUGACUGUAUAAUUACUAUUUCAGCGAAAGAGUUCUUUGAGGAUCCAAUCUCUCCGACAAUAGAGGCAGCAAUACGCUUGCAGCCCAGAUGUAGUGAGAAAACUGAGAGAGAAUCUGGUGAAACUUCAUACACCACUCGUUUACUUGUACCGACAUCACGCAUUGGUUGUCUAAUUGGUAAAGGUGGGACCAUCAUCUCUGAGAUGAGAAGAAGCACUCGGGCAAAUAUUCGGAUACUUUCAAAGGAAAACCUUCCCAAAGUUGCUUCUGAAGAUGAUGAGAUGGUUCAGAUUAGUGGAGAUCUUGAUGUUGCCAGAAAUGCUCUUGUGCAAGUAACAACACGGCUGAAAGCUAAUUUUUUUGAAAGAGAGAGUGCAUUAUCUGCAUUCCCACCCUCUGUACCUUACCAUCCAUCGCCAAAUGAUGCUUCUGAUGGUCCAAAAUAUGGGGCCAGGGAUAGUAAAGCACAUGGCCGUGGGUAUUCUUACUCUGGUGGAUAUGGCGUUUCAGGUGAUUUGCCGCCUUCUGAAAGCUAUGGAAACUAUGGUGGUUCCCAGGGUGUUAGCAGCAGUUACGGAAUGUAUGGUGGGUACUUUGCUCGUUCUGGCAGUGGUGGUUUUGCAGGUACUGGGAAGAAUGUGUUAGACAGCUGAUGACUUCGUUAUUGUUAUAGUUGGUUGAUACAGUCAACAUGGUUGUCUUAUUGUUACCAGACUGGAUUUUAAAUCUGGCCUUUUGACCAUCAGGCGAUGUGAACCACGUAGAUCUUUUCCAUGGAACUCUAGCUCUGUAGUUAUGUUGUUAAAGUGUAGGUGUAGUCUUCCUUGGAACCUACAUCCAGAAUUGGUUUCUGAGGCAGCAGGCUUGCUCAAUGAAGCUGUCUCUGGAUACAAAUUUGGGUUCGGAAACAAUUUAGACUGAGGUAUGGUAUUGUACGAGAGGUAAGAACAAUAAGCAUAGCAAAAGCGAUGGUAACGGCAAGACAUUAUUGUUGCUUCCUGUCAAUUUGGUAGCUUAGUCAUUCAUGAGAUUCAUGUGGAGGAUCGUUAAUAGCUCGAAGUUUUUAAGAAGAUCCGGGACAAAAUGCUAUGCAAAACCAAUUACUAAUGUGUCCUAUUUUAAGAACUUAUAUUGUUGCGUUUGGGCGCUUCUUGGAAAAAUAAAAGAAAUUAGGGAA